UCCCGCGCGACACCACACUGUCACCUCCGUCUGCCGUUGCCACUCCUCUCCGUCCAGUUCCGGAAUAUUUUCCGCGGGACCCAGGAAGAACUCACCCCUCCCCCUAAAGUGUCUUAGGGACCACGACGGAAAGCCCUUCCCUCCCCGCACCGAGUCCCUGGCCCAAGCACAGUGCGGGGUGUUGAGAAAGACUCCGAGCCUCAGUUUCCUCGGCUGUACAAUAGGUGCGAGGUCGGCUGGGCAUGUGACCCUGAUGAAGGCCGAGAUCCAGCCAGGCGCCCCUGGUGAGCUAUCCUCCGCUGAUAGAGGGCGACCCAGGGGAGAAGCAGCCAGACGCCUUCAUGGGCACCCACCCCUGGCAGCGCACUUCUACGGGGAGCUCACUGUAUGGUAAGAAUUCAGUGUGUAAUACUCAGACACGCGGAAUACAGAGCAAAGCAUAACACAAAAUGUGCACUCGACUGUGCCAUCGGUCAGCAGCAGCUCACGGCUGGUACCCAGGGCACUGCGGGGACAUGGCAGACACCCUGUAAAUGGAUGUGGGAAGAAUGGACGGGAGGCCUGCUAGGAAGCAGGAAACCCUCUUGGACCAGGCAACUCGGCGACAGCCCCGGCCGGCUCCCCCUGUCUCCCCCCUGCUCGUGCUGUGUCCCGCGCCUGAAAUCCUCUCUUCUCCCCUGAGCUUGGCCUCGAGGCCGCUGUCACUGGGAAGCCUUCUGGUUACUUUUGGCCAAUGCGUUUGUGUUCUUACCUGCUUCGUCAACUCCACCCCUCCCCAGGGACCUUACGGCAAGUUCUGUUCCUUGAUGUGGCUGCCGAUUACUUGGUCAAUGUACAAAAGAAGCUGAAAUUUUGGCAAAAUGGACUUUGCACUGGGAUUAAGGGUACGGAUCUUGAGACAGAGAGAUCCUCCUGGAUUAUCCACGGAGGUCCAAUCUAAUCACACAAAUGCUUCAAAGGGAUUCACGAAAGCUCUUGGCUGAAGCACCUCUUUUCCUGAGUCUUAUUUGCAAACAACCCUACAGUAAACAGUAAAGCAAAGAUGAGCAAAAGGAAAAGUCAGCCACAGCCCAUUUGCUUUACCAGGUCAGUUCUCUCAUUUUCCAGCAUUCCUUCCCAGGCACCGUGCUUGGGUCUACAGCUCGCAUGUCUAGCUCUAAGGUUUGGGGGCUGAGCAGAUUCAAAGCGCCAGUCAGUGUUCCCAGCAGGUGCUCUCAGAGAACCCUUCUCCCGGUGAUUCUUACAUGGCUGAAAGCCUCGGGGACUCGUGUGAAAUGAUGCCACCAACCUUCUCUUCUCCCAGCUUCUGUCUACAGUCUGUACGAUGGUGGGCAGGACCGGACGAUGGCUGAGAUUCCCUCCUGCCCACAUGGUUCUGUGAGUCUGUAGUUGGACUCUGAUCGUUCACCUUUUCUCCUCAGUCCUCAAGAAGAAAAGACAGUUCCCCGAGGAGGGGGAGGGUAAGUGAGGUCUGCACAGCCCCACCUUCGCUCAUUAAGCACAAGAGCCUCAAGGGGCAAGUUCAGAGGCUCUUCCUUCAUUCCAGAGAAUCUAUUAAAACACUUUUCACAGUCA